rnacentral:misc_RNA from 1 species
UGAAAGAUGAAAAUAGCAUGGUAGGUUUUAAGGUUGAUUUGAUGCUGGAAAUGGUUUCUUUCACUAUCAAAAAGAAGAGAAACCAAUUCUGGAUAUUACAGGUCUCCAUUUUGAAUAGAGGGUACUUAUUGUAUUCUUUUGAAUCAAAUUCUGUUGGAUGUUCAGAGAAGCUUUUCAAUAGAAGCUCUUUUUGUGAAAGAAAACCUGUGAUUAGUGUUCUGAAUACUUGAAAAAAACUUCAAUUUUUCCCAUGGGGUGUGUUUUCCCAGCUAAAAUAAUUCCAUUAUGGAGAAAUAAAUACUUGAUUGAAAACCUGUGAUUAGU